CACUUAUUAUCAUCUUUUAUGAAUGAAUAAUCAUUCAUUUAAACACAAAAUUUGCAGCAAACCAAAGGUGAAAUCCGUAGCUCUUCAUUUCCAAAUUCUCCAAAAUUUCAAAUGCUCAUAACUUUUUCGUUUCUCAACGAAAUUGAGCGAUUCUUGCGGCCACGGAACGAGGAAAUGAUUAUCUACAGAUAUGUGGCAUCAAUUUAAGUGAGUUUAUAAGCUUGAAUUGGAUGCAAAGUGAGGAUAGAGCUAAGGUUUUCAAGGUAAGCUAAUCAAUUUUAGGUUUCAUGGUUAAUUUUCAUGGAUUGAUGAUAAUAAAGAUUAGGGUUUAUGAUGUGUAAUUGGGGUUUUUGUUUGAUUGUGUGUUGUAAGGUGAAAUUGAGCUUGAUUAAAGGAUUUUGAUGAUGAAUUGGAAGGUUGGAUCAUUCGGCCAUGAACUACAACCAAGACUCGAUGAGAUCGACAAGGCUCGGAACUUAGAAGAUUGUGACAUCGCUUAGCCGCUUUGAAGAAUUUGGAUAGCAAGUGGGAUGGUAUGAUAUGAUUUGAAGAGUUAAGCUUCCGAAAUUUUAAUUCUCGGAAGUCAUUUGCACAAGAAGUAAAAGAAGAUUUUCAUUCUCGCGGUCCGCAGUAGUCUAGAUGUUUUUGUCUAUGUAUUUGUAUAACGCAAUUUCACUCUGAUAUUUUUUUUAAAAAUGGGGUCACAUUUAUUUUGAUAUAUGAAAUAUGAUUGGUUUUGCGAAAAA